rnacentral:rRNA from 1 species
GUAGGGAAUAUUGGGCAAUGGUCGGAAGACUGACCCAGCCAUGCCGCGUGCAGGAAGAAGGCCUUCGGGUUGUAAACUGCUUUUGUACGGAACGAAACGGUCCUGGUUAAUACCCGGGGCUAAUGACGGUACCGUAAGAAUAAGCACCGGCUAACUACGUGCCAGCAGCCGCGGUAAUACGUAGGGUGCAAGCGUUAAUCGGAAUUACUGGGCGUAAAGCGUGCGCAGGCGGUGAUGUAAGACAGGCGUGAAAUCGCCGGGCUUAACCUGGGAAUUGCACUUGUGACUGCAGUGCUGGAGUGAGGCAGAGGGGGAUGGAAUUCCGCGUGUAGCAGUGAAAUGUGUAGAUAUGCGGAGGAACACCGAUGGCGAAGGCAAUCCCCUGGGCCUGCACUGACGCUCAUGCACGAAAGCGUGGGGAGCAAACAGGAUUAGAUACCCGUGUAGUCC